GACCGCCAGUCGGACUCAAGACGCGGUGGGUGCAGGUAUUGCUCGUCCUCGCUCUCUUCCUGCACCAGUCCUCGCAGCCAGACUCGACACGUGUUACAAUUCUGGUCUUGCAUCAAAGCGCAUUAGUGCGUGACCGGUGUCCUGUCGUCGAUGGGUCAUGCACCAGUGAAGCACAAGGAACAGCGUGCUAGAGAGAACAGAACGCUACAGGUGACACAUUCUGCCCUACUUCGUCUAUCAAUUCUCACGUCUCAUUACAAGGAAUCAGCAAAACAUUAAUAAAAGGAAAAUAUAUUGAAAUUCCUAAGAAAAGAAACAAGAGACGCGACAAGACGACAAAGGAACCGAAUCUCACUCCCGCUCUGUCCAGUCCAGUACUUAACACACACACACACACACACACACACACACACACACACACACACACACACACACACACACACACACACAGAAGUGCAGGGAGGCGAAAAUUGACUGGUGCAGACAAUUCGUGAUUCAGAACCCGAAGUGACUUGUGCCGGAUCAACAUGAACGACACGACCGUCACCCCACCCCGGCCAGUCCCGCCCCUAGGUCCCCUCCUCUCCGUAAAUGAAGACGACGAUUACGAUGCCUGGGUGUUGGCAGGGGGCCGACUCUUCCGUGCCCACGCCUCUGUCCUGGCCUCCCACAGCGCCUACCUGCGUGGGGCUGCCGUGGGGGGCGUGACAGGGGGCGCGGGGACGUCAGGCUGCUGCUGCCCCACGUGCCCCCCGCUGGGUUCGCUGCUAUCCUCACCUACAUGUAUACAGGCCGCCUCCCAGUCACCCCCGCCACGCUGUAUGAGGUGCUGCUGGCGGGGCAUCUGCUACAGAUGGCAGGUGUGGUGUCCCUCUGCCAGGCGCUGCUCACUACCACCACCACCACCAGUGCUACCGAGGGGGAGCGGCGUUGGGCGUGACCCCGGACCUCCCAUCGCUGCCACCUGCCCUCAGUGUGUGGCGGGGGUUGGCCAGACUCGUGCCGCCCCCUCCCCACCACCACCCUCACCAGCACCCGGGCGCCGCCUCCCCCUCCUCCUCGUCUCUCACCCUCCCGGCAACCAUCGUCCGCCCGACUCCCACCCGCGCCCGCCCACUCCACCCGCCUCUCGGUACUUAAAUCUUAGUUAUUCUUUUUAAAUAAUGUGCGUGCGUGCGUGCAUGCGCUCCAAAGGUCGUUAAUAAUUCCUCAGCUGUCCAUUUGAGAAUCAAUAUUUUGCGUAAAAUACUAAUUACAUGCACGUACGCAC